UUUCUAGUGACUAAAACUGUUAGGUAUAAAAAAUGAGUUGGUGUGUCUGGUCAAUAAUUCUGUCUUUCUCUUUCUCCGCUUUCUUUAGAAAGCCUACAUCAGUUUCCAUCUUCAUUUGCCGUGUCUGCCUAAAUCUCCAAUAGUAAAAGUAACUGACUGACACUGAGCAGUAUUAGAAAAAAAGAAAAAAACCCUACUCCUCCCUCCCACCAACCCAACCGCCCACACACCAGUUCUACGUCUGGCUUUGUCAGAUGUGCAGAAAGGCAGGCUGCUAAGACAGGAUGACACUGACGAUUAGAAGACCACUGCUCACACGAUAAGAUGGAAAUGUCGCUGAAGCAGUUGAUUCUGAUGCUACUUACAGUGGCAGCAACAGCCAUGGUGAUAUCAGGUCAAACUGCUGUAUUUCUGAAUGAAACAAGAACAGUGAGAGUUCCAUCUGGAUCAGACCUGGCUUUGUACUGCUUUUUGGACACUGAGAAAUAUGAGCGAUAUCGAAUCUUCUGGUAUUCCAACAAAUCUGAGAAAUCUGAAUCUUCUUCCAACGAGUCAAUAUGUCACAAAAUCAUUAACAAACCUGCAAACAAGACUGAAAAUGAAGAUUCAAAAUGCAUUUUGUCAAAUGUUAAUACAAACCACAGUGGAUGGUACUUUUGCAAAGUCACAACAGAGAUUCCCAGUUUAACAGAAAUCCGCAGCAGUGGAACAGAAGUAAAUGUUUCGGACAGUGAAGUUACAACGUACCCGUCAAAUGUGACGAAUAUUAAAGACCCUCCUGCCCUGAGUGACAACUGGUGGAUAUGGGUGGUGUUGGGAGCAUCCUCUUUCAUCCUGUUCAUCCUGACGGUCACAUGUGUCCUACUCUCAAGAAGACAAGAGAAUAGAGAAGAGCCCAUCUAUGCAAACACCCCCAACAAACAGCCUUCACCUCGGCCGUCCAUGAGCGCAGCGGCGGUCAGCCUGAAGGCAGCUUCUUCCUUUCAAGACCCGCGGACCCCGAGUCCUGCCAGCAGAUACGACGAAGGCAAACGGAGAUAUAGACACUGAACAAGUCACGGAUCUCACAAACUAAUGCCAGCAAAGGUCCUCACAGCUAAUUUCACCGGGACACUGAAAGAAACUUUCCCCUUUCAUUAUUGUCGGAUCUACAUUUUGUUCAUCUGGAUUACUGGUUUAGGGUUUUUUCAUUCAAACUGUACGUUUUUUAAAAUGCGCAGGUGAAGUAGCUUUUAUGAGCCACUAGAUGGCAGAUGAUGAAUGCGGUUUGAAUGUGUAAAUUCAUGGUUUUGUUCCCUUAAUUUUUGUAUUGUAUUACUUAAUAUUGAAUAUGAUGAAUACUGAAUAUUUGGAAAUGUUUCCAAUAGCUUUUGAAUGGAGUAUGGAGAAGAUUUAUACACACAUAUGUAUAUUUUUGUAUUAUUUUUUUAAAGGAGACUAAAACGUUAAUUUCUUAUAUAUGGACUGUGUCCUUCUUUUUAUUUUCAAAAUAAACGUGGCUUUCUGUCGUGCUUAGGCUAACACUUUAAUACGUCCUCUGAUAAAAUACUUAUUAAGUCGACUUAACAUUUCCAAACAAACCAAAAGUCCGCACUUGGGAACAUUAACAGGA
ensembl:lncRNA